UGAGUCGCAGCGGGAGAGCCCCGUCGCAUCCAGUCGACGGGCGCCGCAGGAGCAACUCCUCCCAGGAAUCUCUCAGGCACCGGUACCGCCGCGACUAG
rnacentral:ncRNA from 2 species